AUUGAACGCUGGCGGCAGGCCUAACACAUGCAAGUCGAGCGGAUGAAGGGAGCUUGCUCCUGGAUUCAGCGGCGGACGGGUGAGUAAUGCCUAGGAAUCUGCCUGGUAGUGGGGGAUAACGUCCGGAAACGGGCGCUAAUACCGCAUACGUCCUGAGGGAGAAAGUGGGGGAUCUUCGGACCUCACGCUAUCAGAUGAGCCUAGGUCGGAUUAGCUAGUUGGUGGGGUAAAGGCCUACCAAGGCGACGAUCCGUAACUGGUCUGAGAGGAUGAUCAGUCACACUGGAAAUGAGACACGGUCCAGACUCCUACGGGAGGCAGCAGUGGGGAAUAUUGGAAAAUGGGCGGAAGCCUGAUCCAGCCAUGGCGCGUGUGUGAAGAAGGUCUUCGGAUUGUAAAGCACUUUAAGUUGGGAGGAAGGGCAGUAAGUUAAUACCUUGCUGUUUUGACGUUACCAACAGAAUAAGCACCGGCUAACUUCGUG
rnacentral:rRNA from 1 species